rnacentral:rRNA from 1 species
UACAGAGGUGCCAAGCGUUAGGCGGAAUCACUGGGCUUAAAGCGCGCGUAGGCGGCCAUGCGUGUCUUCCGUGAAAUCCCUCGGCUUAACCGAGGACGUGCGGAAGAAACUGCAAGGCUCGAGUCCGGAAGAGGGGGGCGGAAUUCCCAGUGUAGCGGUGAAAUGCGUAGAUAUUGGGAGGAACACCAGUGGCGAAGGCGGUCCCCUGGGCCGGAACUGACGCUGAGGCGCGAAAGCGUGGGGAGCGAACAGG